CCGCCCUGGCAGCAUAUUUCCAGCGCUGGCCACUGACCCCGUAGGUGCUACCACUGUUGAACGCCAACCAACCCCACCUGCGAUAUCGAGUGAUAGAACGAAGAGUCCCAUGAGGGCGUUUACAGGACAUCCGAGAGGCAGAGGAUCGAUGCCGUUGUCGUACCUGCCCAGGCGAGGUCCCAGCAUUAUCGCACACGCCAGGGCUGUUGGUUUCAUUUUAUCAUAUACCAGCAUUGGUGAUGCAAUUCAUUACAUUAGAGUAGUGGAAAUCGAGUUUACGUGCUCGAUCGACAUUAGGUGCGCGUCUGGUAGUGCUGAGAUUGCGUGUGAAACUGUCGUGAUUGAGGGAUAAGGAUAAUAGUGACGAAACACGUGAUUGAUGCGCUUGACAAGAAUAUUGAAUUAAAAUCUAAGAAAUCAAGUGUGUGUAUAUAUAUAUAUAUAUAUAUAUAUAUUUAUUUAUUUAUUUAUAAAGUACCGGAUACCCCGCCUACGAGAUGUACGGUACCAGAGCCAGCUAUGUCAACGGCUCCCCAUUUUCUCAGGAAACCAUGAUCACCCCAGACCCAUCCAGCUGGCAUGCAGUACACGACGGUGUUCAAGAAGGAGAACAGACAGUAGGCUUUGAAAUUACACCUGCGACAAUGUUAAGUUUAUUUUGCAGAUUUUCAACUUCGUUUUUCGUUCGCGAUAAGUUGCGAAUGAGUCACUCGUAAUUGCGGUUUUUAAAAACUUUAUCUCUGUGCUAGUUUAUGUAACCACUAAUGCAUGUGACUCGAAUGCUGCAGUAUACUUUAAAUUGCGUCGCGCAGGUGACAUUAUCUUGCACACAAAAAUAACAAGCCGGCUGCGUUGUCAACAUGCAUUGCGCAUUCAACAUUCGAAUUCGAAACGUGAAUGCAAGAACGGCUUGAUUAAAUUACUACCUUUCGGCCAUAGCACCGCUAACGAUAGUCGUCGAAGUCGUGGCGAAGCUCAAUUGAAAUAUAAAAGCUGCGCAAGCUGGGCCGAACAGAUCGUCGUCUAUCUGUGGAUCGAUCAGAUAUCCACCGACGCCGAUGAAUUGAUUCGUUGGUUUGUCCAUACCGAAGCUCAUUCCGAAACCAAAGAGCCAGAACGUCAAGCCGCCAAGAGCAAUGUCGACGACGUUCUUCAUCAUGAUGUUGACUUCGUUUUUUAAAGAUACGCAGCCGGAUUCUAACAUUCCAAAGCCUGAUCGUCGUGAACCGCAAUACAAAUUAAAAAUGGUUACGUGAGCAAAAAAUAAAAUAAACAGAAAAGCUUGAUUGGGCGAGAUCAAUAACAAAUUUAUUUAUUUAAAUAAUUGGUAAAAAAACCUAAAUUUAUAAAUCUUUGUUCGAUUACCCGUCUGCAUGGUAAAAAUUAUAAAAGCGUUCGACACGAUCCAACAGCUGUCUUCUUGAGUGAGUUUGUAAGGUGAGCCAAUGUAACGAACCGUGAUAUUAGUAUCAUUUGCCUCGAAAUGCCGCGAAUCCAUGGUAUGCGAUAACGUAAAUUUUGUUCCUCCGACUCCAAACUUCUUACUUCGUAAAGAAAUGAAGGGAAACUGAUGCGAUGUAAGAAUAGGCGCUGUCGUGACUAUUGAAGAAAACAAGUUAAAUAUUUAAAGGGCUUUGAUGUCUCGUGCGAUUCCAGUGCAAAGUGCAAGUAGUGCUGUUCAAGGAGCGUAAAGAGGUUGCAAAGAACGUGAAGAGUAUUGCCUUCGGUUUUUUUAUCUUUUUUUAUUGGCCCACAACCAGCCGUUACAUUAAUUUUCUAAUUGUGUCGUCUGUAAAUGUUUCCUUCCCGUUCUAAAACCGCGGAUUUAUACUUUUAAAAUUCGUGAAUAGAGUAACAUCUAGUCUAAAAUAAAGAAACAAUAUCACAAGGAUAAAUCUGUCGGUAGUCUUUUUUUGUCAUUAGUGAAUAAUGGUAAAUAGUAAAAAUUACAAUUAUUCGAAUACAGUAACGCAAAAACUCAAUGCUAUUUAGUAAAUAAUAAUGACAGCGUAUACGCUAAUUAUUAAAAUCAAUAGUUGUAUUAUAAUGUUCUUUUUUUCUAUUUUGACACUUUUACCAAUUUUUUACAAUGCCGACCAAUCAUCGCAAAACAAUUGCAACGUAUUUACCCGGCUUCUUUUGUCUUAUU
rnacentral:lncRNA from 1 species